rnacentral:rRNA from 1 species
UGGGGAAUAUUGCACAAUGGGCGCAAGCCUGAUGCAGCCAUGCCGCGUGUAUGAAGAAGGCCUUCGGGUUGUAAAGUACUUUCAGCGGGGAGGAAGGGAGUAAAGUUAAUACCUUUGCUCAUUGACGUUACCCGCAGAAGAAGCACCGGCUAACUCCGUGCCAUCAGCCGCGGUAAUACGGAGGGUGCAAGCGUUAAUCGGAAUUACCGGGCGUAAAGCGCACGCAGGCGGUUUGUUAAGUCAGGUGUGAAAUCCCCGGGCUCAACCUGGGAACUGCAUCUGAUACUGGCAAGCUUGAGUCUCGUAGAGGGGGGUAGAAUUCCAGGUGUAGCGGUGAAAUGCGUAGAGAGCGGGAGGAAUACCGGUGGCGAAGGCGGCCCCCUGGACGAAGACUGACGCUCAGGUGCGAAAGCGUGGGGAGCAAACAGG